rnacentral:rRNA from 1 species
UACAGAGGGUGCAAGCGUUAAUCGGAUUUACUGGGCGUAAAGGGCGCGUAGGCGGUUUGUUAAGUGAGAUGUGAAAUCCCUGGGCUUAACCUAGGAACUGCAUCUUAUACUGAUAGACUAGAGUACUGUAGAGGGCAGUGGAAUUUCCGGUGUAGCGGUGAAAUGCGUAGAGAUCGGAAGGAACACCAGUGGCGAAGGCGGCUGCCUGGACAGAUACUGACGCUGGGGCGCGAGAGCGUGGGGAGCAAACAGG